GGUCGGUUAGCUCAAACGGUUAGAGCGUCGUAUGUCACUCCCAAAAGUUAAGUUUGAUAACAAGACUGCUAACUUCCACAGGCUCUAAUAAUGCGAAGAUCAUGAGUUCAAGCCUCAUACCGACUA